GAUGAACGCUGGCGGCGUGCCUAAUACAUGCAAGUCGAACGAGAAGCUCGUUUUCGGAUGAGCGGACAGUGGCGUCCGGGUGAGUAACCCGUAGCUGACCUGCCCUUCGCCGGGGGAUAACACCGAGAAAUCGGUGCUAAUACCGCGUACGCUCGUGGGGAUUAGAAGCCCAUGAGGAAAACUGAGGUGGCGAAGGAGGGGGCUGCGUUCCAUCAGCUGGCUGGUGAGGUAAUGGCUCACCAGGGCAACGACGGAUAGGGGACCUGAGAGGGUGACCCCCCACACUGGUACUGACACACGGACCAGACUCCUACGGGUGGCAG
rnacentral:rRNA from 1 species